GACGAACGCUGGCGGCGUGCCUAAUACAUGCAAGUAGAACGCUGAAGGAGGAGCUUGCUUCUCUGGAUGAGUUGCGAACGGGUGAGUAACGCGUAGGUAACCUGCCUGGUAGCGGGGGAUAACUAUUGGAAACGAUAGCUAAUACCGCAUAAUAGUAGAUGUUGCAUGACAUUUGCUUAAAAGGUGCAAUUGCAUCACUACCAGAUGGACCUGCGUUGUAUUAGCUAGUUGGUGGGGUCACGGCUCACCAAGGCGACGAUACAUAGCCGACCUGAGAGGGGGAUCGGCCACACUGGGACUGAGACACGGCCCAGACUCCUAAGGGAGGCAGCAGGAGGGAAUCUUCGGAAAUGGACGGAAGUCUGACCGAGCAACGCCGCGGGAGUGAAGAAGGGUGUCGGAUCGUAAAGCUCUGUUGUAAGAGAAGAACGAGUGUGAGAGUGGAAAGUUCACACUGUGACGGUAUCUUAACAGAAAGGGACGGCUAACUACGUG
rnacentral:rRNA from 1 species